GACGAACGCUGGCGACGUGCUUAACACAUGCAAGUCGAACGAUGAACCCGGAGCUUGCUCUGGGGGAUUAGUGGCGAACGGGUGAGUAACACGUGAGUAACCUGCCCUGGACUCUGGGAUAAGCGUUGGAAACGACGUCUAAUACCGGAUAGGACCUUGGAUCGCAUGAUCUGGGGUGGAAAGUUUUUUCGGUCUGGGAUGGACUCGCGGCCUAUCAGCUUGUUGGUGAGGUAAUGGCUCACCAAGGCGUCGACGGGUAGCCGGCCUGAGAGGGUGACCGGCCACACUGGGACUGAGACACGGCCCAGACUCCUACGGGAGGCAGCAGUGGGGAAUAUUGCACAAUGGGCGAAAGCCUGAUGCAGCAACGCCGCGUGCGGGAUGACGGCCUUCGGGUUGUAAACCGCUUUUAGUAGGGAAGAAGGGCUUCGGCUUGACGGUACCUGCAGAAAAAGGACCGGCUAACUACGUG
rnacentral:rRNA from 1 species